rnacentral:tRNA from 1 species
AGAAAUUUAGGUUACCGAAACCAAGGGCCUUCAAAGCCCUAAACGGGAAGUUCAUUCCCAAUUUCUG